rnacentral:rRNA from 1 species
GCGGAUGGGUGAGUAACACGUGGGGAACCUGCCCCUAAGUCUGGGAUACCAUUUGGAAACAGGUGCUAAUACCGGAUAAUAAAGCAGAUCGCAUGAUCAGCUUUUGAAAGGCGGCGUAAGCUGUCGCUAAGGGAUGGCCCCGCGGUGCAUUAGCUAGUUGGUAAGGUAACGGCUUACCAAGGCGACGAUGCAUAGCCGAGUUGAGAGACUGAUCGGCCACAUUGGGACUGAGACACGGCCCAAACUCCUACGGGAGGCAGCAGUAGGGAAUCUUCCACAAUGGACGCAAGUCUGAUGGAGCAACACCGCGUGAGUGAAGAAGGUUUUCGGAUCGUAAAGCUCUGUUGUUGGUGAAGAGGGAUAGAGGUAGUAACUGGCCUUUAUUUGACGGUAAUCAACCACCAAAGUCACGGCUAACUACGUGCCAGCAGCCGCGGUAAUACGUAAGUGGCAAGCGUUGUCCGGAUUUAUUGGGCGUAAAGCGAGCGCAGGCGGAAAAAUAAGUCUAAUGUGAAAGCCCUCGGCUUAACCGACGAACUGCAUCGGAAACUGUCUUUCUUGAGUGCAGAAUAUGAGAGUGGAACUCCAUGUGU